rnacentral:rRNA from 1 species
CAGUAGCCGCGGGAACACGUAGGUGGCAAGCGUUGUCCGGAAUUAUUGGGCGUAAAGGGCUCGCAGGCGGUUUCUUAAGUCUGAUGUGAAAGCCCCCGGCUCAACCGGGGAGGGUCAUUGGAAACUGGGAAACUUGAGUGCAGAAGAGGAGAGUGGAAUUCCACGUGUAGCGGUGAAAUGCGUAGAGAUGCGGAGGAACACCAGUGGCGAAGGCGACUCUCUGGUCUGUAACUGACGCUGAGGAGCGAAAGCGUGGGGAGCGAACAGGAUUAGAUACCCCCGUAGUCCCUGUCUCUUAUAC